rnacentral:rRNA from 1 species
AUACGGAGGGGGUUAGCGUUGUUCGGAAUUACUGGGCGUAAAGCGUACGUAGGCGGAUCGGAAAGUAAGGGGUGAAAUCCCAGGGCUCAACCCUGGAACUGCCUCUUAAACUCCCGGUCUUGAGUUCGAGAGAGGUGAGUGGAAUUCCUAGUGUAGAGGUGAAAUUCGUAGAUAUUAGGAGGAACACCAGUGGCGAAGGCGGCUCACUGGCUCGAUACUGACGCUGAGGUACGAAAGUGUGGGGAGCAAACAGGAUUAGAUACCCGAGUAGUCC